GAGCUCCGUUCUUCAAUGUCAAUCAUUUAUUCCGCUCAGUUCCCAUUUCUCAGGUCCUGUGUUCGAGAACUGACUUCUGUAAACCAUUAUUAUUCAGAUUUUAGUUAGUUAUUUGUUGAAUAGAGUUACUCUAUCUUGGAAUUUAUCUUUGGACCACAGAUUUUGCUACUCUUGGUAAGAUUUUUCCAGUUCAUGUCUGUAUCUUAACUUUAUUUUGAGUAGUAUAUAUAUGUAAAAUUUGACCAUAUGGUUACUUGAAUAAGAUUGUCGCAAGCAUAUCUCAAGGCACGUUCUUGGUAUCCUUCAAUAUUAUGUUGAGAUACGCAAAGAAUAACAAAAUAGCAUUGCUGCAAAUCUCUCACGUAUUUGGUCAACUAUCUUUCUAUUAAAGGCCCGGCACUAUUACUUAGUAUUAGUUUCGUUUUAGAGCAACAUUCUUCUUCCUUCGGAGUCAACCAUUUAUCCAAGCUUCCUGGGUUCGCAUUUCGCUUCGGAUUUCGUAGGUCCUGUGUGAGUUGCUUCUCUCGGUAAGGUUUAUUUUGCUUCUCUCGAAUCUGGUGGCAAGUGUUGUUCCGUCCGGUAUUCUGCAACAAAUUGAAUCAGACAUGGAUCCAACCUUGCACGAAGCUAUAACAACAGGGAACGUAGAUCAGCUGAGACAGUUAAUGAAACACAGCCAAGAAUGUCUGAAACAACUAGACAACAAUGGAAAGAACUGUCUACAUAUUGCUGCUGAGAAUGGAAGCGUGAAAGUGAUGAAGUACAUUUUAAGGAAAUCAAACAUGGCCGAGGAUAUGAUAAACGGAAAGGACAACCAAGGAAACACGCCUUUGCAUCUGGUUCUCAAGACGAAAAGUAUUAAAUGUCUGAAAAUUCUCUGCAGAGACAAGAGAGUGAACAAGACAGCAGUCAACGAGGAGAACUUAACAGCUUUUGAUGUUUUCAUCCGCGAUUACCAGUUAGCUCUCACCGAUGCUCAAGAAGAGUUUGUCAAAAAGGGCUACAAUUAUCUGUCGACGGAAGGAGGCUGGCUGUGUUGCGGGAAGCUUUGGUGCGCGAGACGCAUCAAAGUAGAUAGAGGUAAUGGAAUAUAUGAAGCUAUGACAGACGAAAAGAUUAAGAAACUAGAAAGAGAUGCACGUAAAAUGGCAACAUGGCAGAUUUGCUUGGGCUUCGCAACGAUCUGCGUUAUAUCUUGAUUUUCCGGGUAUUAAUUAGGAGGGCAAAAUACCAACAGAAUAACAUGGAUUCAUAAAUGACGAAGCAGAUUGAUAUUGAUUUUUUUUUUCUCUUACGGUGUGGUUGUGUGGAUGUGCGGUGUUAUGGUUCUCUUAUUCAUGUAACUUGUUCAUAUAUAAUUUUUUCCUUGGUAACAGACAUUACAAGAAGAAACUCAUUUCAAAAGAAUUUUACCAA